rnacentral:lncRNA from 1 species
AUGAUACGGCAUUCCACCCCUCAGAAAGUAUCCGGUUUGCAACCCUCAUAUGAAUCACAAGGUGCUACAAGAGCAGGCCAGCAUGCUGAUAAGAACUCUGCACCUGACACCUCGAAACUCUGGGAGGAAUUCAAAGAGUCGAUUUCGCGAGUAGCGCGAGAAGUUGGUCUGACAAAUUCGACGGAUUUUUAUGAAAGCAUGGAAAAAGAUGCCUCGAGGUUGACCAGACAGGCUAAUCAACAUCAUGAAGAGAGCCUAUCAAAGCUUUCGAAUGAGGUUCAGGACUCCGUUUUAGAUAAAGUCCGAGAACGUGGUUUGCCGAAUCCAUCACCGAGUGCGAGAGUACGCCGGCAAGCUAGACAACACUCUGCGUCUGAUACGAUGACGGGACUAAGUUUCUCCCACCUUUGGCAAGAACUCGAAGAGUCUGUCUUAAGGGUGGCUCGAGAAGUUGGUCUGGACAAUUCAACGAGCCUCUGGGAGAAUUUAGGAAAGGCUGUUUCGAGAGUGUCAAGACAAACUGACCGCCAGUAUGAAGAACUCUGGAAUGAGUUUGAACACUUUGUUUCGAGAGCAACCCGAGAAGCCAGCUCACCAAAUAUAGCACCAAAUAUAGCACCAAAUUCGAGAGUGCGCAGGCAAGCCGACCACCAUUCGGUGCCUGAAGCAAUUGCAGAACCGAGUCUUUCUCAGAUCUGGGAGGAAAUUAAAGAGUCUACCUCAAGAAUAGCUCGAGAGGUAGGUCUAUCCGAUGAAACUAGUUUCUUGGAGGACUUGGGGAAGGCUGCCCUGAGAGUGACCAGACAUGCUGACCACCAGUAUGGUGAAAGUCUCUCAAAGUUAUGGAAUGAGAUUGAAGACUCAAUUUCAGAAGCAGCCCAAGAGAUUGAGCUAUCGAAUGCGUCACCAAAUUUGAGAGUGCGCCGGCAAGCUGAACAACACACUGCAUCUGAUACGACAGCAGAAUUGAGUCUCUCUCACCUUUGGAAAGAAUUGGGAGAGGCUGCUUUGAGAGUGACGAGACAGACUGACGAAGAAUAUAAAGAUAGCCUCUCUAAGCUUUGGGAUGAGCUUAAGAACUCUAUUUCAAGAGAAAUCCCCGAGGUAGAUUCAUCAGAUGCAUCUCCGAGGACAAGAGUGCGCCGACGAGUCGAUAAAAAUUCUGUGCACGCCACGCCGGUGGAAUCAAGUUUCUCUCAGAUCUGGGAGGACUUUGAAGAGUCCAUUUCGAGAGAAGCCCGAGAAGUCGGUUCUUCAAAUUCAACGAACGCCCGGGAGAACUCAGAGGAGGGUGCUUCAAGAGUGAACAGACAAACUGCGAAUCAAUAUGAAGACGAUGUUUUUCAACUCUGGCAUCAGUUUUGA